rnacentral:rRNA from 1 species
GAACGCUAGCUACAGGCUUAACACAUGCAAGUCGCGGGGCAGCAUUUCCUUAGCUUGCUAAGGAAGAUGGCGACCGGCGCACGGGUGAGUAACGCGUAUCCAACCUUCCCAUGUCCACGGGAUAGCCCGUCGAAAGGCGGAUUAAUACCGUAUGAGGUCACAUGCGGGCAUCUAAGUGUGACGAAAGGUUUAGCGGACAUGGAUGGGGAUGCGUCCGAUUAGCUUGUUGGCGGGGUAAUGGCCUACCAAGGUGAUGAUACGUAGCCGAACUGAGAGGUUGAUCGGCCACAUUGGGACUGAGACACGGCCCAGACUCCUACGGGAGACAGCAGUUAGGAAUAUUGGUCAAUGGGCGGAAGCCUGAACCAGCCAAGUAGCGUGCAGGAUGACGGCCCUAUGGGUUGUAAACUGCUUUUAUAAGGGAAUAAAGUGAGCCUCGUGAGGCUUUUUGCAUGUACCUUAUGAAUAAGGACCGGCUAAUUCCGUG